CCUACGGGAGGCAGCAGUGAGGAAUAUUGGUCAAUGGCCGCAGGGCUGAACCAGCCAAGUCGCGUGAGGGAUGACGGUCCUAUGGAUUGUAAACCUCUUUUGUCAGGGAGCAAAGCGCGCCACGUGUGGCGCUUUGCGAGUACCUGAAGAAAAAGCACCGGCUAACUCCGUGCCAGCAGCCGCGGUAAUACGGAGGAUGCGAGCGUUAUCCGGAUUUAUUGGGUUUAAGGGGUGCGCAGGCGGAAUGUCAAGUCAGCGGUAAAAUUUCGGGGCUCAACCCCGUCGUGCCGUUGAAACUGGCGUUCUUGAGUGAGCGAGAAGUAUGCGGAAUGCGUGGUGUAGCGGUGAAAUGCAUAGAUAUCACGCAGAACUCCGAUUGCGAAGGCAGCAUACCGGCGCUCAACUGACGCUCAUGCACGAAAGCGUGGGUAUCGAACAGGAUUAGAUACCCUGGUAGUC
rnacentral:rRNA from 1 species